CUCACACUUGGGAGAAUCUGACCCCAGCUGUGGCCAGGAUGGAACACUGUUAUGGCUAAAGACCACUGCUUUGAGACUCUAUGAACAGUGGUCCAAAAUGAGAUCCUUGGAGCUCUCCUGGGCUGCAGCAGGCUGUGACCAGCAACCUUCCUCUGAGUGGGGCCUCUCAGAGCCAGGGAACUCCCACGUUUUCUGUGCUUGGAGGAUGGCUGAGUGACAAUGACUCCUGGGCUGAUAUCCUUACUCCAGAGUGAAUAUUUUACUGACCUCUGGGGGGAAUUUUUCACAGCUAAUCCUAAUGAAAUUUCAACUAAACCUAGACUAAGAGAACUUCAAAUUGCCUAUGUGAGGUGUGAAGCAUCUUGCUGAAGUGACAGAAAGUUCUGCCUCUGGAAGUUCUGCUUCCCCGUGAUACGAUUACUCUUCUGAAGAAGAUGUGAUGUGUUUCAACGUGGAGGAAAUCGAGUGGAAAUCAGGAAUGUGGAGUUCUUUCAGAACCCUGCCACUAGCCAACUCUGUCAUCUUGAUUAUAUUACCCUGAAAUAAAAACUUUACAUAAGAAUGAAGUGGAAUUGAGAUGUUUUUAUUCCACAUAGUCUUGUAAAUGCUUUGUUUUAUACCUCUUUCCCUCCCACCAUAUUUGCCAUAUAUUCAGCUACAAAGUGGAGUUCUGCUUGUUCACAUUGUAACUCUCGAUUUGUUCAAAGCAAUAUGGUAGUGCUUAAAUAUAUCUUUAGCCUUCAGCUUAUGUAAAAUACUCAGAACAGACAACAGCCUGAUGGUUACACAAAUUUCAAAGUAUCAAAGUUGGUUUUCUGUAUCUUAAAAUGUAUGAAAAUUAAAAUUUAGAUAGUAGUGAAUAUUUUGCUAAAAUUGUAACUAUGACAGGUUCAGGGAAGAUUUUGAGGGCUGUUUCGACACUUGAAUCCUUUUUAAUGUAAUCUUACAUUUUCUCUAACAUCAGUCUAUGUAUAUUCUAUAUACAAAUAUGCUGAAGUUCAAAUUAGACUUUCAAGUCCUUGUAUAAUGUUGGUAAAACUGGUGUUUUUCUUAUGGAGCUCUAUUUAUUUCCUUGAGGUCUCUUUCAAGCCAGACCAAUAUGAUUC